rnacentral:rRNA from 1 species
AUUGAACGCUGGCGGCAGGCCUAACACAUGCAAGUCGAGCGGAUGAAGGGAGCUUGCUCCUGGAUUCAGCGGCGGACGGGUGAGUAAUGCCUAGGAAUCUGCCUGGUAGUGGGGGAUAACGUCCGGAAACGGGCGCUAAUACCGCAUACGUCCUGAGGGAGAAAGUGGGGGAUCUUCGGACCUCACGCUAUCAGAUGAGCCUAGGUCGGAUUAGCUAGUUGGUGGGGUAAAGGCCUACCAAGGCGACGAUCCGUAACUGGUCUGAGAGGAUGAUCAGUCACACUGGAACUGAGACACGGUCCAGACUCCUACGGGAGGCAGCAGUGGGGAAUAUUGGACAAUGGGCGAAAGCCUGAUCCAGCCAUGCCGCGUGUGUGAAGAAGGUCUUCGGAUUGUAAAGCACUUUAAGUUGGGAGGAAGGGCAGUAAGUUAAUACCUUGCUGUUUUGACGUUACCAAACAGAAUAAGCACCGGCUAACUUCGUG